AACGGUAGAUGGUCUACCGUUUGGUCUACCGUUUGGUUUGGGGUUAAGGAAAAAUUAGUUAUUCCAAGAAUAGGAUUAAGUUCAGGGUUAAGGUAGAAUUAGAGUAUUUUUGUGUUUGGUUGGAGGUUGGAGUUAGUCCAGAAUAGUGAAAAAUAGUAUUUGGUUGGAGUAGAUAGGAUAAGAAGAAUAGUAUGUUAUUAUGAAUAGAAAAUAAUAUUUGGUUGGAAUUUGAUGGGGUUAAAUGGGGUUAGCUAAUCCGGAAUAGUCCAUUUAAGGUGGGGUUAGCUAACCCCACUUAUUUUUAGGUGUGUUUGGAAUAAUAUGGGGGUUAAGGCCCCUUAACCCCCCACCAAACAAAGGGAGACUAGAGCCACCAACUUCGCAGGUACGACGUUGUUCUACGGGGCCUCUCCACUGACUAGGUUUGAAUUUUUUCUUUUUUCUUUUUUCUUUUUUUUUUUUUGAGAAAGAUAGUAUGUUAUCUAUUUUGUACAUAUGAAAAAUGAAUUCAGCUAUAGAACUUGAGACAACUCGAUUUAAAAAAAAGUUAAAGACAACUAAGAAAAAAUAAACACAAUUACUUAGAGGCUAGAGCUGCAUAACUCAUAGGUCCUUAGAUACCGUAUAAGUUAGAAGUUACUAGAUUAGCCCUUAAUUAAGAAGUGCCUACCGCGGUUGAUAAUUUACUUAAAAGGUAUUAGUUCGGAAAUCAACAGCCCAUUCAAGUUGAGACUAUUGAUUAUUAACUUAUGGGAUGCGUAUUCAGUAAAUUUCUGAUGUUCAACAUACUAGAAGAUAAAUAUGUUUUAAAAAAUCUGUGAUGAUGGUCAGGAAUGUUUCGAAACCUAUAAGUAAGAGGGUUGUUUGGCUCAAUGUAGAGUAUAGUAUUAUUUAUUAAAAUU
rnacentral:lncRNA from 1 species